AUUGAACGCUGGCGGCAGGCCUAACACAUGCAAGUCGAACGAGUGGCGGACGGGUGAGUAAUGUCUGGGAAACUGCCUGAUGGAGGGGGAUAACUACUGGAACCGGUAGCUAAUACCGCAUACCAUCGGAUGUGCCCAGAUGGGCUUAGCUAGUAGGUGGGGUAAAGGCUCACCUAGGCGAGGAUCCCUAGCUGGGCUGAGAGGAUGACCAGCCAACAUGGGACUGGUACACGGUCCAGACUCCUACGGGAGGCAGCAGUUGGGAAUAUUGCACAAGGGGCGGAAGCCUUAUGCCGCCAUGCCGCGUGUAUGAAGAAGGCCUUCGGGGUGUAAAGUACUUUCAGCGGGGAGGCGUUACCCGCAGAAGAAGCACCGGCUAACUCCGUGCCAGCAGCCGCGGUAAUAC
rnacentral:rRNA from 1 species